GGAGUUGGACAGACUGUCGCUGCGGCCUUCGGGCCGGAGAGGAAAGUCCGGGCUCCGUAGGGCAGGACGCUGGGUAACGCCCAGGGGGAGUGAUCCCCGUCACGUGCAACAGAGAGUAGACCGCCUCCGGUGCAAACCGGCGGUAAGGGUGAAAGGGUGGGGUAAGAGCCCACCGGCUGUCGUGGCGACACGGCAGGCCAGGUGAACUCCGUCCGGAGCAAGCUCAAAUAGGGUGGCGCCAAGGUCGGCCCGACCAUGCCACCGGGUAGAGUGCUUGAGGUAGUUGGUAACAGCUGCCCUAGAUGAAUGACAGUCAUGAUACAAGACCCGGCUUACGUCCGGCUCCAGAU
rnacentral:RNase_P_RNA from 1 species